rnacentral:lncRNA from 1 species
GGUCUGGCUCUCGAGAUUCGGGGAGCAGUGUCUCUUCGAUUUUUGAGAAAGUAAUCAUGUUGGGAGUCUGGCUCUCGAGAUUCGGAGGGCGGUGCCUCUUCGAUUUUGGAGCAAGCAAUCUUGUUGGGAGUGUUUUCUCGAAUGUGAGUAAAGGUUGGGCAUGUUUGCUAGUCUACCUUACCACGAAGCACAGAGGUUGACACACAGGGACUUUCCAAUUAUCCAGCAAUGGUACUGUUCCUUUACCCUCUCUUCGAUUUUUAAGAAAGUAGUCAUGUUGGGAGUCUGGCUCU